rnacentral:rRNA from 1 species
GACGUAGGGCGCGAGCGUUGUCCGGAUUUAUUGGGCGUAAAGAGCGUGUAGGCGGUUGGGUAGGUCCGUUGUGAAAACUCGAGGCUCAACCUCGAGACGCCGAUGGAAACCCCCUAGCUAGAGUCCGGAAGAGGAGAGUGGAAUUCCUGGUGUAGCGGUGAAAUGCGCAGAUAUCAGGAAGAACACCCGUGGCUAAGGCGGCUCUCUAGUACGGUACUGACGCUGAGACGCGAAAGCGUGGGGAGCGAACAGG